GACGAACGCUGGCGGCGUGCUUAACACAUGCAAGUCGAACCGAAAGGCCCCUUUGUUGGUACUCGAGUGGCGAACGGGGGAGUAACACGAGCGUAACCUGCCCUUGACUUCGGGAUAACUUCAGGAAACGGGGGCUAAUACUGGAUAGGAAUCCUUUCUGCAUGGUGGGGGUUGGAAAGCUUCGGCGGGUUUGGCUGGACUCGCGGCUUAUCUGCUUGUUGGUUGGGUAGUGGCUUACCAAGGCUGGGACGGAUAGCAGACGUGAGAGGGCGACCGGCCACACUGGGGGUGAGACGCGGUCCAGAGUCCGACGAGAGGCAGCAGCUGCGAAUGGUCGGCAAGGGGGGAAAGCCUGACGGAGGGGCGGCGGGUGGGUGAAGAAGGUCCGCGGGGCGUAAAACGCUGUUGGUGGGGAAGAACAUAUGUGUAAGGAGCUGUGCACAUCUUGACGGUACCUAAACAGAAAGCCACGGCUAACUACGUG
rnacentral:rRNA from 1 species